CGCCACGAGGUUGCGGGGUCCUCCUGGUGGAGACCACUGGCACGCGCGGCUGCCGGGACCUCUCUCCCGCUAACCUUCCGAGUCAUGCCCAGGCCAGGGGCGGAAGGGGUGACCCGCCGCGUGCAGAAUCAGAGGCCCUGGAUUGAGAAAAGCUCUGGUUUGAAGAGGAUCUUUCAUACCAGCACCCUGGGGAGAUAUGCUGCCCUGAACCUGCAGGAGGGACUGUGAGGUGCCUGGCAUGCCCACCCUCACAGCUGGAAUUGGGGGGAUUGGAGCUGAACUGCCAAGGUGCCUGGCCAUAGGCAUGCUGGCAGGGCCAUCUCCACCAUCAAGACCUGACACAAUGCACAAUGACAGUUAUGUGCCCUAUGACAGUUAUUCAAGCCUUUCUCCUUGAGAGGAAGCCCAGGUUCUAGAUGGGCAUUUGGGAGUACCUCUCAACCAUGGCUGAGCACAUUGGGGUACCAGUUUCACCCCCAUCCUGGGGGUAGAAGUCCUGGUGUCCAUGGGAUGGAUGAGGGGCAAUGACAUAUGCUCUCCUGCCUCCUAUGCCUCAUCUCUUGGGGUUCGCCUCCUAUGCCUCAUCUCUUGGGGUUCCUCAUCCCAAGGCCACCUGACUCAGGCCUGUCCACCCUCUCCCUUGGCUCCAGGUGCCAUGACUGGAGGUGGCCACCCUUACUCCUGUGCAGAUUCUGCACCCACUGGCUGGAGCCCUUGCUUGGUGAGGCUUGUGGACUCAGGGGUCUGUUUAAAUGUUCCCUUUUAGGGGAAGCCUUAUCUGGGUUCAAGAGCAUCCACUGUCCCUCCAGCAGAACCUGUUAGAUUGAAAUGUUCUCCCUGUGGCCAAAGUCAUUAGAUUGGGAACCCCUGAGGGCAAGGACCAUGUCUUUUUUUAAUCUCUUGGCAGUGCCUGGCAUAGAGAGGGACCUAUUACACUUUUAAAAAAUACAAAUAAAUGUAUAAAUAUGAAGUAAUAUUAGCAUAACAUGA